UUGAUUCGGUGGCCCGCCCACUCCUGUAGGAAGAAUGGACGGUUUCCCAAGGAGGAAGGAAGUGGAAAAACCUUCCUUGAUGUCUAUCGACAACAAGCUACCUAUCUCUCUCUUUGUUCUCGCCGACGGAAGUACUGUUACUUCUGCCGGAGCUUUCCUAAAUACACCGCGCCGGAAUAGUGAUCAGGUACGUCCCUAUUACAUCACAAUACAUUUCCAAUACCAAGGAGUGUGUUCAUCAUUUAGGUGGUCAGAUAGUACAUGAUAUAAUUGAUCAGCCGAAUUGGCUUAUUACACAAUUGCAUUGGUUAGCCGCCAAAGCAGCAGCAGCAGCUGCAGAAGGAGAAAGAGAUGACAUGUGAAUUUGGUAUGUAUGGGCGUUGCAAAUGGAAGAGUGUGUGUGGCUCCUAUUGAAGUAGCCGUAGAGUUGGAGGUC
rnacentral:lncRNA from 1 species